UUAUCUUUUCCACUGGAUCAGAAUGAAGACUUUCCUGUUUCUUGCUCUAUUGUUUUGUAUUUUGGGAACUGCCCAAAUUGAGGCAAUUGACCUUUCUGGAGAGCGAGAUGUGACUCCAAUUCGAAUUUCUAGAGCUGAAGCGCGAUCCAAAGGAUAUUCCUGCUGUAUUAACUGUCGCUCUUGGUGCCGGUGCUGUUACGCAUGAUGUUGAUGAAAAUCCAAAAAGAAAACUAUCUGAUGCAAUUCAUUUGAAAUAAAAAAACAAAC